AAAGUCGUAACAAGGUUUCCGUAGGUGAACCUGCGGAAGGAUCAUUGCAGAAUGGGGUCGUGUGAGCUGAUAGGCGUGAGCCGAUAGGCGAGCAUGGACCAACACUUGUUCGGGGCACUGCUCCUUACAUUUACCGCGUGUGUGUCUGACUGAAUGUGUCGCAUAUAUAAGCAUUGACAACUUUUAACAAUGGAUCUCUUGGCUCCU
rnacentral:misc_RNA from 1 species